AAGGCGAUGAUGCAUAGCCGAGUUGAGAGACUGAUCGGCCACAUUGGGACUGAGACACGGCCCAAACUCCUACGGGAGGGCGAGCAGUAGGGAAUCUUCCACAAUGGACGCAAGUCUGAUGGAGCAACGCCGCGUGAGUGAAGAAGGUUUUCGGAUCGUAAAGCUCUGUUGUUGGUGAAGAAGGAUAGAGGUAGUAACUGGCCUUUAUUUUGACGGUAAUCAACCAGAAAAGUCACGGGCUAACUACGUGCCAGCAGCCGCGGUAAAU
rnacentral:rRNA from 1 species